GGUCUUUGUACGAGCUGUGCAUGAAGCAAAGUGGAUGAAUGAGAUGGAGAUCAGCAUUUAUGACUCAUGGUUUGACCCGGUUGUUUCAACUUUGCCUGGACUCAUUCCCGAUGGUUUUAUUUAUCUUAGAGCAAGCCCUGACACAUGUCACAAGAGAAUGAUGUUGCGUAAGAGAACAGAAGAAGGCGGAGUUUCCUUGGAAUAUCUGCGAGGGUUGCAUGAGAAGCAUGAAAGCUGGCUUUUCCCAUUUGAAAGUGGAAAUCAUGGGGUAUUGUCUGUCAGCGAGCUACCCCUUAACUUUGACAAAUCUGUACCCCCAGAAAUAAGGGAUCGUGUUUUUUAUCUGGAAGGCAAUCACAUGCACCCGAGUAUUCAAAAGGUUCCUGCGUUGGUUCUCGACUGCGAGCCUAACAUUGACUUUAACAGAGAUAUUGAAGCAAAGAGGCAGUAUGCUCGUCAAGUUGCUGAUUUUUUCGAGUUUGUAAAAAAGAAGCAAGAAGUCAUGCCAGGAGCUGGAGAAGAACAGCCUAAGGGCAAUCAAGCACCGGUGAUGCUGCCUCAAAAUGGAGGUUUGUGGGUACCUGGUGGCAAAUUCUCAGAAUCAACACUGAACUUGGAUUUCAGACGAAAUAUGUCAUUCAUGUCUCACUAGUGCAUGUUGCUCAUCGUUGCCAUAUCCAUAACUUUUUGGAAGCAAUUUUUUUUUAUUUCUCCAUGUAAAAAUGUGUUUUGGACUACUCUAAGCUUUUUAACCUGCAGUGGUGUAGGAGUAGGUUGUAUGUGGAUGUUGGUAGG
rnacentral:misc_RNA from 1 species